rnacentral:sRNA from 1 species
CAAGCACCUCGGUAGGUGAGGCGUCUGCAUGGACACAGGCCACUGACCCCGAACGUCGAGAGACGCCCCGGGUCAGGACAGCUCUUCCCGGACCCAAGGGUUGAGCCCAAGUGGCUUCCGGAGUAAUCCAGAUACGCCGUGCAGUGCCGAAGCUCCGACGAGAGGGGUGCGGU